UACGAAGGGUGCAAACGUUGCUCGGAAUUAUUGGGCGUAAAGCGCACGUAGGCGGCUUGGCAAGUCGGAUGUGAAAUCCCUCGGCUCAACCAAGGAAGUGCAUCCGAAACUGCCGAGCUUGAGUACUGAAGAGGGUCGCGGAAUUCCCGGUGUAGAGGUGAAAUUCGUAGAUAUCGGGAGGAACACCAGUGGCGAAGGCGGCGACCUGGGCAGAUACUGACACUGAGGUGCGAAAGCGUGGGGAGCAAACAGG
rnacentral:rRNA from 1 species